AGGACGAACGCUGGCGGCGUGCUUAACACAUGCAAGUCGAGCGGAAAGGCCUUUCGGGGUACUCGAGCGGCGAACGGGUGAGUAACACGUGAGUAACCUGCCCCCUACUUUGGGAUAACCCUCGGAAACGGGGGCUAAUACCGGAUAUGACUUGGCCCGGCAUCGGGUUUGGUGGAAAGUUUUUCGGUGGGGGAUGGGCUCGCGGCCUAUCAGCUUGUUGGUGGGGUAAUGGCCUACCAAGGCGACGACGGGUAGCCGGCCUGAGAGGGCGACCGGCCACACUGGGACUGAGACACGGCCCAGACUCCUACGGGAGGCAGCAGUGGGGAAUCUUGCGCAAUGGGCGAAAGCCUGACGCAGCCAUGCCGCGUGGAUGAUGAAGGUCUUAGGAUUGUAAAAUCCUUUCAGCGGGGACGAUAAUGACGGUACCCGCAGAAGAAGCCCCGGCUAACUUCGCGCCAGCAGCCGC
rnacentral:rRNA from 1 species